AAAAAAGAAGCAACUGAAAACAAUCAAAACUGACUGUAAGUCUGUAACUACUAAAAUGUCAAAAAUUCAAAAUUUGGAAAAAUUCUAUUGUGGGAACCGAACCCGGGUGUGCCUGCUAUUUAGUCCACCUGUGCACCUCAAAUCAACCAGUGGAACCACUUCACCUUUGUUACUAGGGGUGCCAAUACAUAAACAUAUACAUUAUUUAAGAUAUAUUCAUACAUUUUGCUGAGGUUACUGUGUGCCCAUAAGCCCGCCCACCCAAGGAGGUGCGGUCCACCUCUGUUAACAAUAUCGGUUGUAAUCUCUACAGAGUUGUCUCUCUCUCUACCCGUGAGAGUGUUCUCAAUAUCUAUGCCUAUGUGCACAGUGUCAAUGCUUCCUUGAGAGGCCAUUUGCUCCAGUUUCUCUUUCUUAUCUGAUGGUUUUAAGUGUGUUAGACUCUCACUACAUGUAAUUUAAGUUGUAUAUGGGAAAGUGAUUUGUUGAUCUCAAUUUCAAGGUUUUAUUGCGAAUACAUUGGGAAUGG
rnacentral:misc_RNA from 1 species